rnacentral:misc_RNA from 1 species
UACGGAGGGUGCGGGCGUUAAUCGGAAUUACUGGGCGUAAAGCGCGCGUAGGCGGCCUGAUAAGUCGGUUGUGAAAGCCCCGGGCUCAACCUGGGAACCGCAUCCGGAACUGUCAGGCUAGAGUGCAGGAGAGGAAGGUAGAAUUCCCGGUGUAGCGGUGAAAUGCGUAGAGAUCGGGAGGAACACCAGUGGCGAAGGCGGCCUUCUGGACUGACACUGACGCUGAGGCGCGAAAGCGUGGGUAGCAAACAGG